rnacentral:rRNA from 1 species
ACACUGACGUCGCGACGCAUAUCAAUAAGCGGAGGAAAAAGAAACUAACUAGGAUUCCCUUAGUAACGGCGAGUGAAGCGGGAAGAGCUCAAAUUUGAAAUCUUCAAGGUUCUACCUUGACGAAUUGUAGUUUAAAGAAGUGUUUUCUGUUAGUGAAGUUGGCUAAAAGUUCUUUGGAAUAGGACAUCAUAGAGGGUGAGAAUCCCGUAUUUGUACCAUAUCCUUCUAGCUGUGUGAUACACUUUCAAAGAGUCGGAUUGUUUGGGAAUGCAGUCCAAAAUGGGUGGUAAAUUUCAUCUAAAGCUAAAUAUUGGCGAGAGACCGAUAGCGAACAAGUACCGUGAGGGAAAGAUGAAAAGAACUUUGAAAAGAGAGUUAAACAGUACGUGAAAUUGUCAAAAGGGAAGCGUUUGACACCAGUGUUGUUUUUCCGAAAAUCAAUUAUAAAUGUUUUGUUUCUGAGGAGUGAUGACUUCAUCGGCUUCCUUCUCUCUUCACGAAACUUUUUGUAAUGCACUUUUCGGUUAACAAGUCAACAUCAAUUUCUUUUGUUGUAAAAGAGUAUUCGGAAGGUGGCUUUCUUUUCGGAGAAAGUGUUUAUAGCCCUAUACUUCUACAAUCGGAGAGAUUGAGGUCUGCAGCGUAGAUCCUUCGGGGUUAGAUACACUUUGUGCUAAGUUAUAGCUUUUCAUAGACAACUUGUUGACUAUGUUUAGUCUUGUAGCUUACUCGCUUAUGCUAUUUUACCUACGCUUAGGAUGUUGAGUCGUAGAGCACGCAG